rnacentral:lncRNA from 1 species
AGGAGACCCGCCCCUGCACCGCCCCUCCUCCCGCUCCCCUCCCGGGCCCUCUGGUUGGGAGAGUGGAGAAGAGUCGAGAAGAGUGGAGAAGAGUCGAGAAGAGUGGAGAAGAGUCGAGAAGAGUCGAGAAGAGUGGACAAGGCGAACCGUCUGCAGCGAGGCGGGGCUGGGGGGCGCGGGGAGGACGGGGUUCAGGCCGGUGUCGCUCUCAAGGGGCAGCCCUGGUGUCACCCCCACCCCCUCCCACGCUGAAGCCUUCCGGCCGAGCUGUGGCAUCCACGCAAAUGGGGCCGCCUCGGCACCUCCAGGCCAGAAUUUAAAUGUUAUCAGCGGCAAUUGAUCUGCUCGGGACUGAGGUUUCGGGUCCUCUGCGGAAUUGGGAGGAGCGUGGAUGGUGAAGGAGCUGCUGCACUGUGGCACGGGCUUGGCCGGGGCUGCCUGGCUCUGAGCAGGCUCGUGGGACGGCCCUGUAAGGACCCCACUGCAAGAAGGGCACAGAAGCACCUGAGUUGGCGUCUCAGCAGGGACCCCCCCAGGAAAUGCCCUUCUACAGCUGGUACUCAAGCUCUUUACACACUUAGCCAUCGCUAUACACAGUCCACGCUUGUGCACCCACACCCACAAGCUUAUGCUCACGUGCACUUUUUUUUUUUUUUGAGACGGAGUUUCGCUCUUGUCGCCCAGGCUGGAGUGCAAUGGCGCCAUCUCAGCUCACUGCAACCUCCGCCUCCUGGGUUCAAGAGAUUCUCCUCCCUCAGCCUCUAGAGUAACUGGGAUUACAGGCGCGCGCCACCACACCUGGCUAAUUUUUGUAUUUUUAGUAGAGAUGGAGGUUUGCCACGUUGGCCGGCUGGUCUCAAACUCCUGACCUCAAGUGACCCGCCCGCCUUGGCUUCCCAAAGUGCUGGGGUUACAGGCAUGAGCCACCGAGCCCGGCCUCACAGGCGGAUUCUUGAAUCCGUGUGUAUAAUUCUUCUCUUACAGUCAUCCAGCAAACAUGUACAGACCCUGCUCACGUUUCCACAUAACCAUCCUCGUCUUCCUUUUCUAUCCUUCGGGUCCGCGCAUUUGCCAUCCAUACAUGUUACUGGAUACAGUUAGCUGGAACAUAUGAAAUGCCCUUUCCUAGCACACACAAUGGAUCUACGUAUGUACAGGCCUAAAAACAGAAUACACAUCCUACAUGACAUGUACACAUGUGCACACAGAAACAACAGCCUUCACGCCGUCUGCAUAUGCGGGCCAUGCCCAGGUCCCAGGCACACAGGCCAGGCGACAGUCCACUUCAUCACUCAAUUGCCUGCUCUCUUUUCCUCACUCCUUCCUCAAGCAGCUGUCCGUGGGGGAGAGCCUCUGCUCCUAGCUAUCGCAGUGUCUCUUCAUUCUGAGUUGAGCAUGGGAAACUGUGUGAUGUAGGGAAGGAUGGUGAUACCAGGCCUCUGGGAGCCUGGGCUUCAUAACACGCUAUUUUGCUCAUUUAUUUUUGUAUACCUUCACAUGCCUUGUGAGGCCUUCCAGAAAUAGAUGUUCAAAUCCUACCUCAGUUUCCUCAUCCAUAAAAUGGAUUAAAAUACUAUCUGCCUUA